rnacentral:rRNA from 1 species
GACGAACGCUGGCGGCGUGCUUAACACAUGCAAGUCGAACGGAAAGGCCCUGCUUUCAGGGUACUCGAGUGGCGAACGGGUGAGUAACACGUGGGUGAUCUGCCCUGCACUUCGGGAUAAGCCUGGGAAACUGGGUCUAAUACCGGAUAGGAGCCAUUUUUAGUGUGAUGGUUGGAAAGUUUUUUCGGUGUAGGAUGAGCUCGCGGCCUAUCAGCUUGUUGGUGGGGUAAUGGCCUACCAAGGCGGCGACGGGUAGCCGGCCUGAGAGGGUGGACGGCCACAUUGGGACUGAGAUACGGCACAGACUGCUACGGGAGGCAGAAGUGGGGAAGAUUGCACAAUGGGCGCAAGCCUGAUGAAGCGAGGCCGCGUGGGGGAUGACGGCCUUCGGGUUGUAAAAUCCUUUCGCUAGGGACGAAGCUUUUUGUGACGGUACCUAGAUAAGAAGCACCGGCUAACUACGUG